rnacentral:lncRNA from 1 species
CCCUUUAAGAGAUGUGCUGUUUGGAGCGACACUAGUUACGUCCAUUCACAUCUCUUUGAGGGAAAACUGUGCUCAAACGAGCUUUGUCCCUCUGUAUUGAGAUUUUUAGCUUUACGCUGAAUUUUUAACGUACGUUGGCUAAAAACUCCAUCAUACUAUCGUACAAGUGCGUCUACCGCAAUCAGUUCGUGUACUUCAAUAAUGUCCAUUAUGGACCGUCGUCAGUAAGUUUAUACUUACAACUUUAACUGCACAUUAGUGAGAUAAAUUUGCCCUCCAAUUUGGUCUUAAUACACAUUUCAAUACGUGCACUGCUUCCAUUCAAUGCCUCUAAGACUCGAUUUAAAAUCCUUAUAGGUAUAGAUGUUCCAAACAAGAAAAAACCAAAGUUGCGGGAUUUUAGGCACUGGUUUGUCGGUAACAUUCCCGGAACUGACAUAGCAAAAGGACGGACGUACCUCCCAUAUAUUGGUGCAGGCGAUUUUCUAGACCAAGGUUCACAUCGGAUUGUAUUUGUAGUAUUCCAACAACCCGGUAGUAGGAGAAUCAAAUUUUACGAAAGAAAACUCACAAAAAUGGUGCCUAUAAAUAGGGCAAGAGGGAACUCGUCGACACUAAAGUUUGCCGAAAAAUAUAGCUUGAGAGAGCCGGUGGCAGCCAACUUCCUCACAGUUGAGACGGAUGUGCCUCAGUCAACAACGGACUACUACGCCCAUACGACGAUUGAAGUGCCACCAGACUGGGAGGGCAUCAGCAUGAACCCGCAAAUGGUAGGCCUCACCAUCCCCUCCAUCCCAAGUGACGAGGAGUUCGAGAAGGAACUGAAGCUGAGCAGGAGUGAAAGACGAAGAGGGAAGAAGUCGAAGAAGAAGGUGGAGGAAGAUAAAUCAGGACCUUACGCUGAUUAUUAUGAAGAUGACAAUGAUGAUGAUGAUGAUGAGGGAGAUGAAGAUCAAGUUAAGAAAGAGGAAGACGAGAGUGACAAAGAAAAAGACAAUAAAAAAAGUGAACAUGAAAAUAAGAUGGAGGAUAAAAAGGAAGAGGAAAAUAAAGAUGAAAAGGAAAUAGAAAAUAAAGAUAAAAAGAAAAAAGAAAACGAAGCUGAAAAGAAAAAGGAAAAUAAAGAUGAAAAGGAAAAGGAAAAUAAAGAUAAAAAGAAAAAGGAAAAUGAAGAUGAAAAGAAAAAGGCAAAUGAAGAUAAAAGGAAGAAGGGAAAUGAAGAUAAAAAGGAAAAGAAAAAUAAAGAUAAAAAGAAACAGGAAAAGAAAAAGAAAAAUGAAAAUAAAGAUGAAAUUUAA